rnacentral:rRNA from 1 species
GGAAUAUUGGACAAUGGUCGGAAGACUGAUCCAGCCAUGCCGCGUGCAGGAAGACGGUCCUAUGGAUUGUAAACUGCUUUUGUACGGGAGCAAUAAGGGCGUCGUGACGUCCGAUGAGAGUACCGUACGAAUAAGCAUCGGCUAACUCCGUGCCAGCAGCCGCGGUAAUACGGAGGAUGCGAGCGUUAUCCGGAUUUAUUGGGUUUAAAGGGUGCGUAGGCGGCUUGACAAGUCAGCGGUGAAAUGCAAGGGCCUAACCCUUGACGUGCCGUUGAAACUGCCGGGCUAGAAUGCGGAUGCUGUGGGAGGAAUGUGUAGUGUAGCGGUGAAAUGCAUAGAUAUUACACAGAACACCGAUUGCGAAGGCAUCUCACAAAUCCGCUAUUGACGCUGAGGCACGAAAGUGCGGGGAUCAAACA